rnacentral:rRNA from 1 species
AGUGAACGCUGGCGGUAGGCCUAACACAUGCAAGUCGAACGGCAGCACAGUAAGAGCUUGCUCUUACGGGUGGCGAGUGGCGGAUGGGUGAGGAAUACAUCGGAAUCUACUUUUGCGUGGGGGAUAACGUAGGGAAACUUACGCUAAUACCGCAUACGACCUACGUGUGAAAGCAGUGGAUCUUAUAACCUUGGUCGAUGGAAUGAGCCUCUGUCGGAUUAGCUAGUUGGCGGGGGAAAGACCCACCAAGGCGACGAUCCGUAGCUGGUAUGAGAGGAUGGUCAGCCACACUGGGACGGAGAUACGGUCCAAGCGCCUACGGGAGGGAGCCGUACGGAAUAGUGGAGAAUGGGCGCAAGCCUGAUCCAGCCAUACCGCGUGGGUGAAGAAGGCCUUCGGGGUGUAAAGCCAUUUUGUUGGGAAAGAAAAGCAGCAGGAUAAUAGCCCGAUGUUAUGACGGUACCAAAAGAAUAAGCACCGGCUAACUUCGUG